rnacentral:lncRNA from 1 species
AUGUCAUACAUACGAAAUCAUGUUAGAUAUUCAGACAGUUAUUCAGCUCAAAUAUCUUUAUUUAUAAUAGGUAAAUUUCUGUUUUUGUUUAUUUGUUUGUUUGUUUUGUGUUUCAGAUCAGAUGCUGCUCUCAUACCAAUCUGGAAACAACCUUCAAAUAUAAGAACCCAGCGCACUGUGCAAAUAAGGAGAAAAGUCCACAGCAAUGUCAGAGCACUUGUAUCCUGCAAGUUUCCCUGCCCAAGAAACCUGUUGUAAAUUCUUGAGAUGAUAAACUAAGAAGAGAUCACAUCUGGGUUUUACCUUUCACAAGUUUCUACAUCAACUCCAUGUCUAGAAUAGCAACAACCCUGUGAACUGCAAGCCUACAGCGAAUGCUGCCAACAAGGAAAGCUACGUAUGUGAAGGCUGAGAAGAUAUAUGUACUAGACCAAGUGGAAGCCUAUUUAUAUAUUUGGGCUACAUUUCCAAUACUGAAAUACCACUGCAUUUUACCAGAGAGCUGUUAGAGUGCUAAAGCUUUUUAUACCAGUAUAAUAAAAUCGCCAUUUUCAAGGAAAACA